GGAACUAAAAGUCGUAACAAGGUAACCGUAGGUGAACCUGCGGUUGGAUCAUUAUUGAAUCAACGGUCUCAAGUCCUCUUCGGAGUUGAUUUGAGACCUUACCUACCCCAUGUGCAACAUUACUGUUUUUUGGGACUGUUAACGCAGUCCCAGCAUUAUUAACUCUAUUUAAUUUGUCUGAAAUGAAACCAAGAAUCGUAACAACUUUUGACAACGGAUCUCUUGGCUCUC
rnacentral:misc_RNA from 1 species